GCGCCUGGCUCCUAGCGCUGGGAGCCCGCGCAUGCGCGCAGCCGCCCCGCCGCUGUUUGGCCGUUUCCAUGGCUACGAGAGCGUUGACCUGGGGUCUGCACAGGAGAAAAUGAAACUCAAGAGCCUCCUGCUCCGCUAUUACCCGCCAGGAAUUAUGUUGGAAUAUGAGACGAGUGGAGAGCUGAAGACCAAAUGCAUAGAUUUGCUCAACCUCAGUCCCAGUAGUGACGUCAAUGCCUUAGUAGAAGAGAUACAGAAAGCAGAGCCUCUAAUCACAGCUUCCCGAUCGGACCAAGUAAAGCUUUUACUACAGAGAUUACAAGAGAAGCUCAGACAGCACAGCAACCACAAAUUCUACCUUUUUAAGGUUCUCAGAGCACAUAUACUGCCACUGACCAAUGUUGCGCUUAAUAAAUCGGGGUCUUGCUUUAUCACAGGGAGCUAUGAUCGGACCUGUAAACUCUGGGACACUGCUUCUGGAGAGGAGCUUCACACCCUGGAGGGCCACCGGAAUGUGGUUUAUGCCAUAGCAUUCAACAAUCCAUAUGGUGACAAAAUUGCUACUGGCUCCUUUGAUAAGACCUGUAAACUAUGGAGUGUAGAAACGGGAAAAUGUUACCACACUUUUAGGGGGCAUACAGCAGAAAUAGUGUGUUUGUCAUUCAACCCUCAAAGCACACUGGUGGCCACUGGAAGCAUGGACACAACGGCCAAACUGUGGGACAUUCAGAACGGAGAGGAAGUGUUCACUUUGACAGGACAUUUGGCUGAAAUCAUCUCUUUGUCCUUUAACACCUCGGGAAGCAGAAUCAUCACAGGGUCUUUUGAUCACACAGUUGCAGUGUGGGAAGCUGAAACUGGAAGGAAGGUGUAUACCCUAAUUGGGCACUAUGCUGAGAUCAGCAGCGCUUUAUUCAGCUGGGAUUGCUCCCUCAUAUUAACCGGCUCUAUGGACAAAACCUGCAUGCUGUGGGACGCUGCAAAUGGAAAAUGUGUGGCAACAUUAACAGGCCAUGAUGAUGAAAUACUAGACAGCUGUUUUGAUUACACUGGAAAACUUAUUGCAACUGCUUCAGCUGAUGGACACAAGUUCUAUGGUAUAUCUACUCCAGCUCUGGGUUACCAAGUAGGAUGCUACAUUGUGUAUCAUCAUCUCCUCCUGAUGACCAUGCAUGAUAACACACUAGACUCACAUUUUCUUAAAGAUUAUGUAUGAUAUUACGCUCUACCUACAUCAUCUCCUUGGAUGGCUGCACAUGAGGUUUACUAUGUCAGCAUCAUCUCCUUGAUAAGCAUGUAUGAUUACCAUGAACUCACCUCGCUGACAAACAUACAUGAUGUUAAAUAUGUCUUUGACAUCUCAUUGAAGGCCACAUAUAAUGCCAUGUGAUAUCUGUACCAUCUCACUGACAACCAUCUGUAUUACUGCAUUAUGUAUAUACUAUGCCUUGGAUGGUAAUUUUUUAUACUAAACAACGGGUCAUCCUCAUAACUAUGUAUUCCUGACAAGAUGUAAGAGACUACACACCUUCUGCAUCACUUGCUGGCAACCCUGUCAUGAUGUCUACAUGACAUCCUUGACAGCCACAUGUGAUGAUACCUCCACACCAUCUCCUCGGCAAGCAUGUGUGACGCUGUGCUAAGUCGAUGUCAUCUCAUGACAUCACACAACCAAGUGACGCUCUUCUAUGAGCCAUCACUUUGACAGUUAAGUAUGAUGCUACACCAUGUGUCAUCUUCCUGAAGACUGCAGGAACAGCAAGAGUUUUCAGUGCAGCCACAAGAAAAUGCAUUACCAAACUGGAAGGCCAUGA